UACGUAGGGUGCAAGCGUUGUCCGGAAUUACUGGGCGUAAAGAGUUCGUAGGCGGUUUGUCGCGUCGUUUGUGAAAACCAGCAGCUCAACUGCUGGCUUGCAGGCGAUACGGGCAGACUUGAGUACUGCAGGGGAGACUGGAAUUCCUGGUGUAGCGGUGAAAUGCGCAGAUAUCAGGAGGAACACCGGUGGCGAAGGCGGGUCUCUGGGCCAUUACUGACGCUGAGGAGCGAAAGCGUGGGGGAGCGAACAGG
rnacentral:rRNA from 1 species